UGAGCAAUCUGCCCUUCUCAUCGGAAUAAGCGUUGGAAACGACGUCUAAUGCCGAAUACGACCUCCUUUCGCAUGAUCGGAGGUGGAAAGCUCCGGCGGAGAAGGAUGAGCUCGCGGCCUAUCAGCUAGUUGGUGUGGGUAAUGGCCCACCAAGGCGACGACGGGUAGCUGGCCUGAGAGGGUGACCGGCCACACUGGGACUGAGACACGGCCCAGACUCCUAGGGAGG
rnacentral:rRNA from 1 species